rnacentral:rRNA from 1 species
AGCGAACGCUGGCGGCAGGCCUAACACAUGCAAGUCGAACGAAGUCUUCGGACUUAGUGGCGGACGGGUGAGUAACACGUGGGAACGUACCUUUUGGUUCGGAACAACUCAGGGAAACUUGAGCUAAUACCGGAUGAGCCCUUAGGGGGAAAGAUUUAUCGCCGAAAGAGCGGCACGCCUUAGAUUAGCUAGUUGGUGAGGUAAAGGCUCACCAAGGCUACGAUCUAUAGCUGGUCUGAGAGGAGGAUCAGCCACACUGGGACUGAGACACGGCCCAGACUCCUACGGGAGGCAGCAGUGGGGAAUCUUGCGCAAUGGGCGAAAGCCUGACGCAGCCAUGCCGCGUGAAUGAUGAAGGUCUUAGGAUUGUAAAAUUCUUUUACCAGGGACGAUAAUGACGGUACCUGGAGAAAAAGCCCCGGCUAACUUCGUGCCAGCAGCCGCAGUAACAC